AAACUUACCUGGCUGGGAAGUAUCCCGUGAUCACUAAGGCGGGACUUUCAUGGUGAGGCUUAGCCAUUGCACUUUUGGUUCGGCUGACCUGUGCGGCAUUCCCGAGUUGGGAUUGGCCGACAGCAUAAUUUUUGUGUUUGGGGGAGCGUUCGCGCUUCCCUGC
rfam:Enterobius vermicularis genome assembly, scaffold: EVEC_scaffold0002455